GACGAACGCUGGCGGCGCGCUUAACACAUGCAAGUCGAGCGAGAACCAGAGCUUCGGUUCUGGGGACAGCGGCGAACGGGUGAGUAACACGUGGGUAAUCUGCCCUCGGCACCGGAAUAGCCCGGGGAAACCCGGAUUAAUGCCGGAUGGCCCACCCGCCUUUCGAGGCGGUUGGAAAAGGUAGCUUCGGCCUCCGGCCGAGGAUGAGCCCGCGGCGGAUUAGCUUGUUGGCGGGGUAACGGCCCACCAAGGCGACGAUCCGUAGCUGGUCUGAGAGGACGAUCAGCCACAGUGGGACUGAGACACGGCCCAGACUCCUACGGGAGGCAGCAGUGGGGAAUCUUGCGCAAUGGGCGAAAGCCUGACGCAGCGACGCCGCGUGCGGGAAGAAGGCCUUCGGGUUGUAAACCGCUUUCAGGAGGGACGAAGCCACUCGGGUGAACAGCCCAGAGGGUGACGGUACCUCCAGAAGAAGCCCCGGCUAACUACGUGCCAGCAGCCGCCGUAAUAC
rnacentral:rRNA from 1 species